CCCAUGUUGCAGGAACAUCAAAUAGCAAAUGAAUAGCAUCAUAAGAAGUCAAGAGAAAGACCAUGGAAGAAAGAAGAAACUUUAACAGCGCUUUUUUCAUGAUCUUUGAACAAGGAGCUCUAAAUUAUCAUUUUGCACUGGCUCUGUCCCAGCUCAUGUUUGUUGAGUGAAUAAAUAAAUAAAUAAAUGCAUACAUACAUAUUUAUUAGUACAUGGAACACACUGAUUAUCUUCCAUUUCCUAACAACACUGUAUGUAAUCAGGAUUGCAGGCAUGUUAUGAAAUACUAGAAUAGCUGAAUAUUAAAAUUAUUCUGGAAUCAUGUAUGCUUAUUGUUGGGGUUAUUUGUGACGUCUCCAAAGUCAUCACAGUUUUCUCAGCAUCAAUGUCCUCAUCUCACCCCAGUCCUAGUUCUAGUCUUAGUGGAAUAGAUUGUAUCAGACUAAUCCUCUGACAGACAACAACGAUCAACUGUGGAUGAAAUUUUAAAACAACUAUUUAAAAAUGCCAGAGAGCAAACAAAAGCAGACAAGUUAGAGGGACUUCAACCCACGAAAUCAAUAAACGUACUGACUGAGACUCAUGCACACACACAUGACAGAGGGACAGAAGCUCUAUGAG
rnacentral:lncRNA from 1 species